CUACGGGAGGCAGCAGUGGGGAAUUUUGGACAAUGGGGGCAACCCUGAUCCAGCCAUUCCGCGUGAGUGAUGAAGGCCCUAGGGUUGUAAAGCUCUUUCACCGGUGAAGAUAAUGACGGUAACCGGAGAAGAAGCCCCGGCUAACUUCGUGCCAGCAGCCGCGGUAAUACGAAGGGGGCUAGCGUUGUUCGGAAUUACUGGGCGUAAAGCGCACGUAGGCGGACUAUUAAGUCAGGGGUGAAAUCCCGGGGCUCAACCCCGGAACUGCCUUUGAUACUGGUAGUCUCGAGUCCGGAAGAGGUGAGUGGAAUUCCGAGUGUAGAGGUGAAAUUCGUAGAUAUUCGGAGGAACACCAGUGGCGAAGGCGGCUCACUGGUCCGGUACUGACGCUGAGGUGCGAAAGCGUGGGGAGCAAACAGGAUUAGAUUACCCCAGUAGUCC
rnacentral:rRNA from 1 species